rnacentral:rRNA from 1 species
GAUGAACGCUGGCGGUGUGCCUAAUACAUGCAAGUCGAGCGAACAGACGAGGAGCUUACUCCUCUGACGUUAGCGGCGGACGGGUGAGUAACACGUGGAUAACCUACCUAUAAGACUGGGAUAACUUCGGGAAACCGGAGCUAAUACCGGAUAACAUGUUGAACCGCAUGGUUCAACAGUGAAAGACGGUCUUGCUGUCACUUAUAGAUGGAUCCGCGUCGCAUUAGCUAGUUGGUAAGGUAACGGCUUACCAAGGCAACGAUGCGUAGCCGACCUGAGAGGGUGAUCGGCCACACUGGAACUGAGACACGGUCCAGACUCCUACGGGAGGCAGCAGUAGGGAAUCUUCCGCAAUGGGCGAAAGCCUGACGGAGCAACGCCGCGUGAGUGAAGAGGGUCUUCGGAUCGUAAAACUCUGUUAUUAGGGAAGAACAAAUGUGUAAGUAACUAUGCACGUCUUGACGGUACCUAAUCAGAAAGCCACGGCUAACUACGUG